GUGCAGCAGGCGAGAAACUUUACAAUGUGCGAAAGCACGAUAAGGGAACUCUGAGUGCCUCCUAAGGAGGCUGUUCAGGUGUCUAAAAGCACCUGAAGGAAGGGCUGGGUAAGACCGGUGCCAGCCGCCGCGGUAACACCGGCAGCCCAAGUGGUAGCCACGUUUAUUGGGUCUAAAGCGUCCGUAGCCGGCUGGGUAAGUUCCUUGGGAAAUUUGGCUGCUUAACAGUCAAGCUUUCAGGGAAUACUGCCCGGCUUGGGACCGGGAGAGGUCAGAGGUACUCCAGGGGUAGGGGUGAAAUCCAUUAAUCCUUGGGGGACCACCGGUAGCGAAGGCGUCUGACCAGACCGGGUCCGACGGUGAGGGACGAAGGCUAGGGGCGCGAACCGGAUUAGAUA
rnacentral:rRNA from 1 species